AGAUUGCAGGCUGCAACUCGCCUGCAUGAAGUCGGAAUUGCUAGUAAUCGUGGAUCAGCAUGCCACGGUGAAUACGUUCCCGGGCCUUGUACACACCGCCCGUCAAACCAUGAGAGUUGGCAACACCCGAAGUCGGUAGUCUAACCGCAAGGAGGACGCCGCCGAAGGUGGGGUCGAUGAUUAGGGUUAAGUCGUAACAAGGUAUC
rnacentral:rRNA from 1 species